UAAACAUAUAUAAACACAUAUAAACACAUACAAACACAUACAAACACAUAUAAACAUAAUGGAUAACACAAAUUUUGCAAAUAGUUCUGUAAUAUGUCUUACUUUUUAAAUAAUAGCAACGUGGAAUUAGAAAAGAAUAUAAAUAUGCUUAACAGUAAUAAUAAUAAUAAUAACAAUACGAAUAGUCCCAAUACUUGUGCGUCUUUUUUAAACAAUGGUGUAAGUCAAAAUAGCAACAAUUUUAACGAUAUGAAUAAAAAUGAUGAAUCGAUUGAUAUAUUAGUAAGUCAGAUGGAAAGUUCUUUUUGUAUAAAUACAAAUAUAAUAGAGAAUGUAAACAGUUUACUUGAAAGUAACGAACUUUAUGAUAAAAUAAAAGGUAUACAGUUAGUAUAUGGUUCUUUACAUUAUAAAUAUAAAAACAAUCCAGAAUAUAAAAAAAGUUUGUUAAAUAGGGGAUGUAUUAUGUUGAAUGUACCUGAUAAAAAUGAAAAUAAUCAAACACAAUUAGAAAGUUCUAUUAAUACUGGUAUUAGCAGUAAUCAAAAUAAUUAUAACAGUUUUUAUCAAAAUAAAUAUAAUAAUAAUUCUUCUUCCAGUAACAACAAUAACGACAAUAAUAGUGGUAUUUUUUUAAAUAAAAAUGACAACUUGAAUGGAUUAAAUCACAACAAUAAUAAUAACGAUAAUAAUAAUAAUCAAAAUAAUUGUAAUAAUAGUACAAAUAAUACCACUAGUAGUAGUAAUGUUGCUACAUCUAAUACAAAUGGAAGUAAUAAUGCUUUAAUGAAUAAUUUUAAUACAGGAGCUUGUUCUUCUUCUUCAUCCUGUUCAUCUAAUGGAAUAACUUUACAAAUUUUAAAUUCUAUGAUAUAUUCUACUUAUAAACGUUUAAAUGAUGUAGAUGAAUAUUUUGAAUUAUUAGAUAAAUGUCUAACAAGAGAAAAUGUAAUAGAUAUAAAUCUGAGUGAUGUAUUUGAAAUAAAUAUUAUAAACAUGAUUAAAGUUUUACUUUAUAAUUAUUUAUAUAGUAAUGAUGAAAUUAUAAUAGAAUCAUUGACUUUGUUAAUUAUAAUUUUCGGUUGUUGUGGUUCAACUGAAAAAAUAAAACAAGAUGUAUUAGACGAGUUAUAUACAUGUGUUGUUUAUUUAUUGAAUAAUUCAUGCGAUAAAACAGGUCCAAAAAAUUGUCAAAAACCACUCAAUCCAUUAAUACCACAACUAAUUAUAGCAUUAUUAAGAACAAUAUUAACAUACGAUAUAUAUAAAUUAAAAAAUGAUUUAAUUGAUCGUAAAGGUAUCGUAGAUGCAUUAUUAGAAGCUAUUGAAAACACUCCUAACCUAAAUGGUGUAAGAGUUUGUUACACUAUAGUUGUAUAUGGUUUAAAAAUGUUUUAUAUUUCUACAUCGCAAAUGUAUGAAAAAUCUUUUUUAAAAGAACUUGAAACAAUUACAAAUUAUUUAUCUAUGUGUAUAAAAAUGAGUGACGAAAAAAUAUUAUUUUUGACAAGUUCUACUUGUAUAACAAUUUGUGAAAAUCAAGUAGGAAUUGAGUUUUACUUAAAACAGAUAUAUUACACAAUGCUGUUAUUUUAUGUGAAUCUUCAACUGCAGAUUUAGCCUUUGAAGCUUUAUCAAUUAUUUCAAAAAUAGCUUAUGCUGCUAAUCAUCAACAGAUAUGUUUAUUAAUAAAUUGUAAUGUUAUAAAAGCUUUAAAAAAAAU
rnacentral:lncRNA from 1 species